rnacentral:misc_RNA from 1 species
GAUGAAGAACGCAGCGAAAUGCGAUACGUAAUGUGAAUUGCAGAAUUCAGUGAAUCAUCGAGUCUUUGAACGCACAUUGCGCCCCCUGGUAUUCCGGGGGGCAUGCCUGUCCUAGCGUCAUUGCUGCCCUCAAGCACGGCUUGUGUGUUGGGCCUCCGUCCUCCUCCCGGGGGACGGGCCCGGAAGGCAGCGGCGGCACCGCGUCCGGUCCUCGAGCGUAUGGGGCUUCGUCACCCGCUCUUGUAGGCCCGGCCGGCGCUUGCCGACACAUCAAUCUUUUUUCCAGGUUGACCUCGGAUCAGGUAGGGAUACCCGCUGAACUUAAGCAUAUCAAUAAGCGGAGGA